rnacentral:tRNA from 1 species
UCCCUGGUGGCUCAGAGGGUAAAGCAUCUGCCUGCAAUGCAGGAGACCUGGGUUCAACCCCUGGGUUGGGAA